AACGAACGCUGGCGGCAGGCUUAACACAGGCAAGUCGAGCGCCCCGCAAGGGGAGCGGCAGACGGGUGAGUAACGUGUGGGAACAUACCCUUUCCUGCGGAAUAGCUCCGGGAAACUGGAAUUAAUACCGCAUACGCUCUACGGGGGAAAGAUUUAUCGGGGAAGGAUUGGCCCGCGUUGGAUUAGCUAGUUGGUGGGGUAAAGGCCUACCAAGGCGACGAUCCAUAGCUGGUCUGAGAGGAUGAUCAGCCACAUUGGGACUGAGACACGGCCCAAACUCCUACGGGAGGCAGCAGUGGGGAAUAUUGGACAAUGGGCGCAAGCCUGAUCCAGCCAUGCCGCGUGAGUGAUGAAGGCCUUAGGGUUGUAAAGCUCUUUCACCGGAGAAGAUAAUGACGGUAUCCGGAGAAGAAGCCCCGGCUAACUUCGUGCCAGCCGCCGCCGUAACAC
rnacentral:rRNA from 1 species